CCUACGGGAGGCAGCAGUGGGGAAUAUUGCACAAUGGGGGAAACCCUGAUGCAGCGACGCCGCGUGAGUGAAGAAGUAAUUCGUUACGUAAAGCUCUAUAAGCAGGGAAGAAAAUGACGGUACCUGAGUAAGAAGCCCCGGCUAACUACGUGACAGAAGCCGCGUUAAUACGUAGGGGGCACGCGUUAUCCGGAUUGACUGGGUGUGAAGGGAGCGUAGACGGUGUGCCAAGUCUGGAGUGAAAUGCCGCAGCUUAACUGCUGAACUGCUUUGGAAACUGGCGAACUAGAGUGCAGGAGGGGUAAGCGGAAUUCCUAGUGUAGCGGUGAACUGCGUAGAUAUUAGGAGGAACACCGGUGGCGAAGGCGGCUUACUGGACCGUAACUGACGUUGAGGCUAGAAAGCGUGGGGAGCAAACAGGAUUAGAUACCCGUGUAGUC
rnacentral:rRNA from 1 species